rnacentral:SRP_RNA from 1 species
GCUGGGUGUGGUGGCCUGCACCUGUAAUCCCAGCUACUCAGGAGGCUGAGGCAGGAGAAUUGCUUGAACCCAGAAGGUGGAGGUUGCAGUAAGCUGAGAUUGCACCACUGCUCUCCAGCCUGGGUGAUAGGAGACUCUGUCUCAAAAAAAAAAAAAAGACAAGUCUGACAGUGAGUGCUGGAAUCACCAUUUACGAACCCAAUUUAUUUGUGUGUGUGUGUGAGAGAGAGAGUCUCACUGUGUUGCCCAGGCUGGAGGCAGUGGUGCAAUCUCGGCUCACUGCAACCUCUGCUUCCUGGGUUCAAGUGAUUCUCCUGCCUCAG